AUGGAACAGUGGCGCUCUUAUCUGCAACUGAAAGAAUUCACUAUCAUUACUGAUCAGAAGGCCUUGGUCAGUCUGACAAAGCAGCGUUUGCAUACAGCUUGGCAGCAAAACGCUCUCACAAAGUUGUUUGGUUUGGGUUAUAAGAUCAUAUACAGAAAGGGAGAAGAUAAUAAGCUUGCUGACGCCUUGUCCAGACGCCCCCAUGUAUCAGGGGACUGUUAUGUUCUUUCUGAAAUUCAACCAGCUUGGGUGCAGGAAAUCAUGGACAACUAUACCUCAGAUCCUAAUGCUACAACAAUUUUGCAGAAGUUAGCAAUUGAUCAAACAGUUGAUCCUAACUUUACAUUGCAUGGACGACGAACUCCAUUUGAACUGGUGUAUGGGCAUGCUCCUCGUUACUUUGGCCUUUCUCCAGUGGAUGCUAUUGGCAGUUCAGAUGUUCAUCAGUGGUUGCGCGAUAGGCAUGUGGUCAUGGAGUCGGUCAAGCAACACUUAUUGCAUGCGCAGCAGCGCAUGAAAGUUCAGGCUGAUAAACACUGGACAGAAAGAUCUUUUGUGGUGGGGGACACAUUUUUUCUCAAGAUGCAGCCUUAUAUACAGUCCUCUAUAGCUCCGCGGGCAAACCACAAACUUGCAUUCAAAUAUUUUAGGCCUUUUGAAAUCUUGGCAAAGGUUGGUGCAGUGGCAUACAAGCUGGCCCUACCGGACAACUGCAGAGUACACCCAGUCUUCCAUGUAUCUCUUCUCAAACAUCAUGUUAAGCCGGAUCAGCAGGUGUUACCAACUCUGCCUUCGUCAGCAGCUCACAAGCAGGUGCCAUAUUGUUUCCUCGAUCAUCGCCUGGUACCGCGAGGGAACAAACUGGUAGCUCAAGUGCUGGUCAAAUGGAGCCACUCUCCGACUUCGAUGGCAACCUGGGAAGACCAAGACAUGCUGAAGCAACAAUUUCCGCGAGCACUGGCUUGGGGGCAGGCCAUUUUCUCUCUAGGGGGGUUGUCAGCGGCACUGACAUUGAAGCAGCGACAAGACCUGAAACGCUACAGGAGGAUCCGGCAAGCGGAAUGUAGGCCAGGCCUAAGAGGAGAGCCCAUGCACCAGCGAGGCUGCGAGGCCCAGAUAGAGGACGGAUUCCGGCCGGCGAAGGGGCAACCGGGCGUGGCGGCGGGAAUGGCCCUGUUAGGGUUUGAGAGGAGAAGACGGGGGAAAGGGAGAUGUGGCUUCCUGGAUUCAUCGCCUUCGGGCGGGGCUUCAGGCUGA
rnacentral:rRNA from 1 species